AGAAUCAACGCUGGCGGCGUGCCUAACACAUGCAAGUCGAACGAGAAAGUGGGAGCAAUCCCAUGAGUAAAGUGGCGCACGGGUGAGUAACACGUGGCUAACCUACCCUUGAGUGGGGGAUAACCUAGGGAAACCUGGGCUAAUACCGCAUAAUACCUACGGGUCAAAGGAGCAAUUCGCUUUAGGAGGGGGUCGCGGCAGAUUAGUUAGUUGGCGGGGUAAUGGCCCACCAAGACAGUGAUCUGUA
rnacentral:rRNA from 1 species